GAUGAACGCUAGCGAUAGGCCUAACACAUGCAAGUCGAGGGGCAGCACAUGAAGUAGCAAUACGGAUGGUGGCGACCGGCGCACGGGUGAGUAACGCGUAUGCAACCUACCUACAACAGGGGAAUAACCCGUUGAAAGACGGACUAAUACCCCAUAAUACAGGGGUCCCGCAUGGGAAUAUUUGUUAAAGAUUUAUCGGUUGUAGAUGGGCAUGCGUUCCAUUAGCUAGUUGGUGAGGUAACGGCUCACCAAAGCAACGAUGGAUAGGGGAACUGAGAGGUUUAUCCCCCACACUGGUACUGAGACACGGACCAGACUCCUACGGGAGGCAGCAGUGAGGAAUAUUGGUCAAUGGACGCAAGUCUGAACCAGCCACGUCGCGUGAAGGAAGACGGCCCUAUGGGUUGUAAACUUCUUUUGUAAGGGAAUAAAGUGCAGUACGUGUACUGUUUUGCAUGUACCUUACGAAUAAGGAUCGGCUAACUCC
rnacentral:rRNA from 1 species